ensembl:snRNA RNU6-703P RNA, U6 small nuclear 703, pseudogene
GUGCUCGCUUCAGCAGCACGUAUACUGAAAAUUAGAACGAUGCAGAGAAGUUAGCAUGACCCCUGUGCAGUGAUGACACACAAAUUCGUGGAAAAAAAAAAAAAAAA